rnacentral:rRNA from 1 species
AGCAGCCGCGGUAAUUCCAGCUCCAAUAGCGUAUAUUAAAGUUGUUGCAGUUAAAAAGCUCGUAGUUGAAUUUCGGGAUCAGCAGGUUGGUCGUGCCAAUGGUAUGCACUGGCCUUGCUGAUUCCUCCCUCUUGAUGAGCCGUAAUGUCAUUAAUUUGGUGUUGCGGGGAAUCAGGACUGUUACUUUGAAAAAUUAGAGUGUUUAAAGCAGGCAAGCGCUUGAAUACAUUAGCAUGGAAUAAUGAAAUAGGACGUUUGAUCCUAUUUUGUUGGUUUCUAGGAUUGACGUAAUGAUUAAUAGGGAUAGUUGAGGGCAUUAGUAUUCAAUUGUCAGAGGUGAAAUUCUUGGAUUUAUUGAAGACUAACUACUGCGAAAGCAUUUGCCAAGGAUGUUUUCAUUAAUCAAGAACGAAAGUUAGGGGGUCGAAGACGAAUCAGAUACCGUCGUAGUCUUAACCAUAAACUAUG